rnacentral:rRNA from 1 species
AUUGAACGCUGGCGGUAUGCUUAACACAUGCAAGUCGAACGGUAGCAGGCCUUCGGGCGCUGACGAGUGGCGGACGGGUGAGUAACGCGUAGGAAUCUGCCUCAUAGUGGGGGACAACGUGGGGAAACUCACGCUAAUACCGCAUACGCCCUACGGGGGAAAGCGGGGGAUCUUCGGACCUCGCGCUAUGAGAUGAGCCUGCGUUAGAUUAGCUAGUUGGUGGGGUAAAGGCCUACCAAGGCGACGAUCUAUAGCUGGUCUGAGAGGACGAUCAGCCACACUGGGACUGAGACACGGCCCAGACUCCUACGGGAGGCAGCAGUGGGGAAUAUUGGACAAUGGGCGCAAGCCUGAUCCAGCAAUACCGCGUGUGUGAAGAAGGCCUUAGGGUUGUAAAGCACUUUCAAUUGGGAGGAAAACCUGCCGGUUAAUACCCGGUAGCUUGACAUUACCAAUAGAAGAAGCACCGGCUAACUCCGUGCCAGCCGCCGCCGUAACAC